GACGAACGCUGGCGGCGUGCUUAACACAUGCAAGUCGAACGGAAAGGCCCUGCUUUUGUGGGGUGCUCGAGUGGCGAACGGGUGAGUAACACGUGAGUAACCUGCCCUUGACUUUGGGAUAACUUCAGGAAACUGGGGCUAAUACCGGAUAGGAGCUCCUGCUGCAUGGUGGGGGUUGGAAAGUUUCGGCGGUUGGGGAUGGACUCGCGGCUUAUCAGCUUGUUGGUGGGGUAGUGGCUUACCAAGGCUUUGACGGGUAGCCGGCCUGAGAGGGUGACCGGCCACACUGGGACUGAGAUACGGCCCAGACUCCUACGGAGGCAGCAGUGGGGAAUAUUGCACAAUGGGCGGAAGCCUGAUGCAGCAACGCCGCGUGCGGGAUGACGGCCUUCGGGUUGUAAACCGCUUUCGCCUGUGACGAAGCGUGAGUGACGGUAAUGGGUAAAGAAGCACCGGCUAACUACGUG
rnacentral:rRNA from 1 species